AUAGCGUAUAUUAAAGUUGUUGCAGUUAAAAAGCUCGUAGUUGAACUUCGAACGUGGCUGGGCGGUCCGCCUCACGGUGUGUACUGUCUGGCCGUGUUCUCUUUCUUGGUGAGCCGGCAUGCCCUUCACUGGGUGUGUUGGGGAACCAGGACGUUUACCUUGAGAAAAUUAGAGUGUUCAAAGCAGGCCUACGCCCGGAUACAUUAGCAUGGAAUAAUAAAAUAGGACGUGCGGUUCUAUUUUGUUGGUUUCUAGAGUCGCCGUAAUGAUUAAUAGGGAUAGUUGGGGGCAUUGGUAUUGAGUCGCUAGAGGUGAAAUUCUUGGAUUGACGCAAGACCAACUAUUG
rnacentral:rRNA from 1 species